UCCCCUACGACUAGAGCUGGCGGGAACAGGCCUCCUGAUGGGUCCCUUUUGUCAAGGUAAGCAAGGCCCUGGGUGGGAGGCCAGGAGCCUAGGCCUUGGUGGAGCCUCUUCAAGCCAGAGAAGAUGAACACUGUGUCAGGUUCCCCCUGGCAGGGUGACCCCAGCCUGGGCUGGGUCUUGCUGGGUUUUCUGCGGGUUUACUUCGGGUUCCUCUCCCUGCAGUCUUAGUCAAGGGAAGUCUUGUCUUCGCCGAACCUUAGAUGUGGUGGGUGGAACCACGGAGAAGUCUGGCAAAAAGCGGGGGCCAGGACCGCUCCCGAGAAGCGAAGGUUGAGGGUGACCACGCCUACCUGGGAGGAAGGAUACCAACCUGUGGAUCGGCCUCGCCUGGGUUCCUUCACCUCUGGCUCGGCCAGUGAGGAGCACCAGAGAUCAGAGGGCAGGAUGAGAGAGAAUUCCAGGCAUCUAUCCCCACCCCUUGCUGCUUCCAGACCACACCUCUGCAUUGGCUUCCUUUCUCCGAGCACCAGACCUCCUCGGGCCCCUAGAGCACUAUUUCCUCUUCCUGCCACUUCCACCCUAGCCUCUCGGUGUCACUGGCCCUCUGGUUCCCUUAAUCCCGCUCCCACCUCUGUAAAUAAGCCAUACUUUCAUUAAAGGCACUCCGUGUGGA